ensembl:lncRNA
UUUAUCUUGUCAUGUUCAGCUUUCCCAUAACAUCCAUAGUUGCUUCUGCAGACUUAUUUUGGUUUUGUUUUCCUCAUUACUGCUGCCUAUACUGAAAUAUUUUUGAUGAUAAAUCAUAAUUACCUAUACUUGUGGUGAUGUAUUGCAUGUUGCUUUGUUUUCUGAGACUAACCUGUCACAGGGUUGUAGGAGGCAGGAAAAAAGAGACAGCUUAAACUGCUGACUGCUUCAGUGAGUCUGAGGGUGAAAGGGACAUCUCAUAUUUCAUCUGCCCUCCAAAAUCUACUUGGGAGAUUGAGGAAAGCAAGAAUCUGGUUUGGCUGAGCAGUCCAGUCUGAUUAGUUAGUGAAAAUUAGAGGCCUUGCAAGUUCAAAUGAGCAGAUAAAGGAAGCAAGGAGAUGCCACCUUCUGUUUUGCCUUCACAGGCAAUUUCCUGUAUCACUUGCUCCCAGACCAAUGAACGCUCCUGAGCCCUUCCAUUUGAAGGCAAACAACUCUAAAGGAAUGCUUUCAAAUGUAAAACUGCCCACAGGAUGAUGUUGAUUGCUUCCUGUUGAUUUGUGACAUUCCUUACCAGCCUUAGCCACCUGUUCUGGUUGAUUUGUUACCAGGAUCUCCUGUGCUCAGAAUGAAGGUCAAGAGGAAAUUGGUGUGGUUAUCUUCUGCCGAGAAGAAAAUGACGUGGUUAUUAUCCACCUAUGUGCUUUAGUUUUCUUUUGAACGAGCUGGAGAUGUGGACCGGCAGGAAUUUGGGCUGGGGUGUGGUAUGCACUCAACAUGCAUCACUACCAUAUCCAGAGUAUCUCUGUGAGACCUCUUCACUGCACGGAAACAGCACUGAUAUCACCAGUAAGGAAAGACCUUUGCAGUGUCUACAGGGAAAUCAGCUGCCUGUGCAAUGUAAAAGUGGCAGAGCAAAGCAUCACAUGUCCUCACAGGAGUUCUGCAUGCAGCUCUGGAGCACCUCUCUCACUAAUACCACAGUGAACACUCUCUCCUAUCUGCGUACUUUACUUUUGACCAGAAAGAAUUCUUCCUAUGAGAUUGUAUUAUGUCUUACUGCAUCCUCUAGCAAGAGUAGGGCUAAUAAGACCUAGAAAGUAGCCUUGCUUCAAUUCAAUUUUGAAACAAGAUCUUGGCUGGCAUAUAUGCAAUAUACAUUGAUUUUAAACUUGAUCAUUUAUAAAACCUGGGAUUUCUAUUGCAUUAUAUGAAAUAUCUACAAAAAUAUAGGACAGAAACUGAAAGAAGAAAAAAACACAACUUGUGAUUACACAAGACCUCUUUUAUCCCCAUUUUUCACAAUGAAGAUAUGACAGAAAGUUUUAGUAAUUAAUUAAAAUGGUAUUGUUCAUGAUAAAGAAAUUAUACAACUUCAUUGGCCAUUUACCGUAAACAUAACACUACAGAUUCUGAGGGGAUGUUGAAAUGUAAACACUGCUAUUUUAUGUAAACACUCAGCAAGAAACUUGCUCUUUUUUCAUUAAGACUCUAUACCAACACUUGACUGAGAACCAAAAUUAAAUUGUUUGAAGACUGGGUUUUAAAUUUUUUGGUACAGAUAAACAGUGUACUUCAAAGUAAGCACUUUUAUAUGACAUUUGCAAUCUUAUGAAUAUAUCAUUUUAAUCAUUACUUCUGACUCUUUUUGUUUAUCCUUGCCACAACAUCAUUAGUGAAAUUGAAGUGAGAUUAUCUAUGAUUUUACUAAUGUGAAUGGAUAAAUAUAAAUUUUUAAUUUGUUAUAUUUAAAUAACUAUGUUUCCCAUUACUCUUAUGAGGAUAGGAGGUAUUAACUGUCAGUAUUGGGUUCAUGUGGAUGAUGAACAAAACAAAGACCUGGGGCUGUUUUAUGUGCUAAGGAAGAAGGUGGUCUGAAGGGUACUCACUGAUAUGUUUAAUUUCUUCUUGUGUGUGUUGCUGCUAUAUUUUACUUGUGUCUGUAGAUCUCUGUGACUGCUUGCUUUCUACAGCCAUGUUAUAGCCUCAAGGCAAUAAUUCUCCAAAAACAUGUAAAAGAACACCCAGUUUGUCCUAGCAAACCCUUUUGUACACCUAGUUAAUAUCUGCUUUGUUGCUGGAAUGUAGAACAAAGCCUGAGAUGAGGCAUCCACAUUUUUACUUAUGAAAUAUCUGUCUGUUUAGUUAUGCCUUAAUGGUAUUAUGACUGAAAAGAUAUCCAUAUAUUCCUCAUGUCUGAAGGAGUGCAGCACUCUAGUAAUGUAAAUGACUGUCACUGUUAUAUCUGGGAGAAGCAAUAUCACAUCAUGUUGUGUCUUGUGUCUCUGUCCUCCCACUCAGCUCUCCUAAAGUGGCUUUUUAUGACAAGUGUUGUAAAACAGAAGCCAGUGUGAAACAUGCUUCC